AGCACUUCCUUGUAGACUUUAAAAGAUGUACGUCGCUGUCUUCCUUUUCAUGGCUCUUGCAUCCAUCAGCCACAGAGGUGUUUCCGCUCAAGGUUCACAGUGUUGGUCAAAGUUAAAUGAUUGCAAGACAGGCAUCCUGAAUGUGUUUGGGCCAUUGUUCAAAGACUGCAGCGGCCAUAAGAAAUGUGUUGCCAAAGCCUUAACUGACUGCAAUGCAACUCAGGGUGAUAGGGAGGAUGGAAAACAGAUACUGGACGAGCAAGGAUGUUAUUGUAGUACCAGCUCAUGCAAAUUGCAAGCGAUUAGUUACUUUGGAAUAACAAACAACUGCAGGAAGAUGCAGAGAUGUGUCAAGGAAGAACUUACUGACUGUGUGGCAAAUGACGACGAUAGGUCAAAAGCAAAUAAGGAGCUCGACGACGAAGGCUGUUCCGGUUCAAGUCUUCCUUUUAUCAGUGGAAUGUGUCUUUUGAUCGUAACACUGUUACAUACCAUGUAACGUUGUUAUUGGAAUAAGGAUUACGUCAAACCCGCAGAUAGAUAACACCAUCUCACAAACCUAAAAUCACUCAAAGGAUUGGUUAAGUGGAAGAAUUUCUGAGCCUAAAUCCAAGUCUGUUUUCUUCUUACACUCGUGAGGGUUUGACCCCAACAAGUGUAAGAAGAAGGGAGAUGAUUUCAUCAGACUGUUAACAAAUUAUUUAAUUUUUGGACCAUUAGAAUGCGAAAAGAUUUCACUGAUGUUAAGGGAAAAAAACAUCUAGAUUGUAUGAUAAAAAUUAUUUUCUCUUUAGGCUAAAGGCCUACUUUUUAAGUGAAUGACCAUUGAGUAUUUUGUAAAUAAUUGUUUUCUUAACUAUGAAAAAAUGAAUCAAUAAAUAAACGUUUUCAAAAAAGAAAGUACAGUUAUGAAAGGCCAGUGUAGCUUAAUAUAAAUUAAAAAGAAUAGGUUUUAUGAAAGGAAUAGGUUUUCAGAAAUUUAGUCCGGUUUCCUAUUUGAAUUUUGUACAUCUUGCCGGAAUAAAUUUUUAAUUUAGUCAAUGAUCAAAGUUUAAGAUAUGCUAUUUUCAGUGCUUUGGAACUUUUUAUAUUUUUUUAUUGCAUAUCGUGCAUCUAUCUGAUUGAAAAAAUAAGAUAAAACCAACAAAACAACAGACCAACAAAUCUUUCAAUCUGCAAUAUUAUGUAAACUAAAAUAUCAACACUUAACUUUUAUUAUAACACACAGUCAAAUUUUUUCAGUAAACACAGAAUCAGAAAAAAUAAUCCAAUCUUCUUUUUAAUACAAAAUGUAUAUAGAACACAUUUUACUUAUGAAAAUGAACUGUAUAAAAAAUUAAAUCUCACAACUAAAACCAUAGGUAAAUAAAAUCAACUGAAUUUGACC
rnacentral:sRNA from 1 species